rnacentral:lncRNA from 1 species
UAUAAUAAGAUGAAUAAGUGGGAGUACCAGGGUUCGAACCCCGAUCCCUGAACAUUGCAUAUUGCAUGCAAUUUUCCUACCAACUGAGUUAUGUUCACCGGGACAGGAUAAUGAUACUUAUUUUGGAACAAAUAUUUUUUUGUUAAAGUGACAAUUAUUUUAAAAGUGAGGGAAAUAGUUGACAUAGUUGUGUUAUCUAUUCUAGUGUGGGACAAACAAAUGGUAGCUAGGUAUAGCGAAAGAGAGUCGUUCCACAAUGUGAGGGGAACCAUAGUUGGAAUCUGUUAGGUGGAGAGGCAUCAUAUUCACA